AUGGUUUCGGGAACCUGGAUGACAGGAUGCUUGUCAAACGGAGAAUGGGAGCAGACUGCGGCGAGGAGGCUUGCUAGUCUAAGCAAGGCCACAGCUCCAGUUUGCUGCUUCCAUGGUGUGGAGAAGUUUGACAUGCGUUUGACAAUGAGGCCAGAUUUUAAAGCAGCAGUGUAUAUAAAAGCAGAGAUCAUUGAACCAAUGAUCCAGGACACAGCGUUGAAUGAAACUGAGGGGCAAGUUAGAGCUUUAUAGGGGUUGAUGGACUUGGAUUAGCCCUUGGAGGUCUUACAGGUGGUUAUCCGUCUUUCUCUUGAAUAUCUCCAGCUUUGGAGUGCUCACCACCUCCCAUGGUCAUUGUUGCUGUUGUUGUAGUGCUCUAACAGUUAAGAUGUUUUCCCUGUUAUUCAGCCUAAAUCUGGCUUCCGGUGGCUUGAGCCCAAUAUGAUGUGUCCUGCACUCAGGGAUGAUCGAGAGCAGAACAUGUUCUCUGUUUGACUAUCUUUCAGGUAUUUAAAAAUUGUUCUCCUAUCUUGAAGCGCAAGCCAUAGAAAUCCAGAUGUGUGCCAGGCAAGUAUGCCUACGCCUCUGUUGUCCAGCUGUGAACUAGGGGAAGUCUAGAACAUCUGGCAGACCAGAGGUAGAGCGUGACCUUGUACCUGUUCCUCCCCACCAGUUCUUGCUUCUGGGAAGGGUUUCCCACUUGGCAAGAUACCUUACCUCCACGUGUAAUGCUGGGAAGAGAUAGUCUCUGAUUUCAUCAUCAUCUUAGAACCACAGAGCAGGAAGGGACCCUAUGGAUCAUCAGGUCUAGCCCCUAUCAAGUGGGGAAUUGAACUCCCAGUCUUUGGCUUCACAGCCAGAGACUUUAACCAGUGCAGUGUUCCAGGAGAACAAGCCCCUCUCCUCUUCCUUUGGUGGCCCUAGCCACCAUCUCUUCUUGGUUAGCUGCCAAGACCAGCCUCACCUACCAACCCCUGCACUGAAGCCUCUAUCUCUAGCCUAUAUUGCCUCUAUAGCAAAAGCUUGACUUUUUAUAAAACGAUCAAAGAUUUUAGCCAAUCUUGAAGCGGCUUGUGUGAAGACAUUCUUCAGUAACAUUCUUCAGAUGGUCUUCGGCACUUUGAGAAGCAGCUCACAUAGAGCCUCUGUGUCUGUCGGCUUCAUUUAUUUAGGAAAGUUGUGUGUUUGCCACAGAUGAGCACUCCAUAGGUGUUCUUAGCUUAACUUAAUGUGAUUUUUCUUUCUUGAAAAGGAAACUCUGACUGGCAGAGGGUUGGCUUUCAGAAUGGUUGCAUGGGAAAAGUCCUUUUUCUUGCCUCCGAGGAAGGCCGAACCGGGUUGCCAGACUCCAUUUCUCCCCCCCCCCCCCGGCUCCUGGUAUAAUUGGAGACUCCAGGGAGUUAAGGAAUGAUUCACAACGGGGGGGGGGGAGAGGAUCUGGCUCAGCGGCAUGAAAUAGUUACGGCCUAGUUGUUUCAAUAGCAUAUUGUUUAGGUUUUCUCAACCAUUAUGGACAAAUAAGGAGCAGCAGGGUUGGGUGGGGGCUGGAGGCAUUCAGAUGGGCGCCGGACAGGAUGGAAGGAGGCAAGGCAGGGAUACGUCUCAUUCCAGUGCUUCAGAAUCGAAAUUCGUAAAAACACCUUGGUUAGGGGCUGGCUUGUUUUCAGCCUGGAGGUGCUGGUAGUGACAUAAUUUCCCUUGGAGCAUUAGAGAGUCAUAGGAGUUAAACUUCUUUCUUUCUUUCUUUCUUUCUUUCUUUCUUUCUUUCUUUCUUUCUUUCUUUCUUUCUUUCUUUCUUUCAUUCUUUCAAGGUUCGCCUCCUUUAAAAAUAUAAAAGUUUGUGUACAAUGAUGACUGAAACCAAAGGACAACACCCCCCCCCACUAUCUUUCUUUCAUUCUUUCUUUCAUUCUUUCAAGGUUCUCCUCCUUCAAAUAUAAAAGUUUGUGGACAAUGAUGACUGAAACCAAAGGACAACCCCCCCCCCCACUUACUCAUUCUUGCUACGUAUCUCUCAUUUGCACUCCUAUUACGCUUCAACGUGAAUUACAUGCAGGUCUACGUCGGGGAAUACACUGAACUUGGCCAGAUUUUGCACAGCCUGCGGAGUUUAGACUUUCCUGCUUACAUAAUUGGGAUUCGGGCAGACUUGCAGGAUGUGUCUUCUGUGUCACACGUUCACAUGGGAUGUUUAGUGGUCCAGGACUCAGCAGCCCAGUAUGAGCUAACUAGAUACCCAGUGUGGUGUGGUGGAUAGAGUGAUGGACUGGGACUCAAGGGGCUUCAGUGCAAAUCGUUGCUCAGCCAUGGAAACUCCCAGUGGGGUAUGGAGCUGGUAAAAAAAAACACUCCUUAAAUAUCUCACUUACCAGAUUCUGCUCCCUUCCUUCCUUUGCCAAAUCUGCAAGGCUGCUGUGGUGACGUUAGGAUAGUCUCGGCUGCUCUCCUUGUUUUGUGUGUUGUGCCGUUGGUUGUUCUGCCUCCGUGUGUUUGUGAAGCAUCUCCGAAAACAUUUGUUGGUUCGGUAGGAGGCAAAUAAAAUCUAUAAAAUAAAAUAAAAAUUCCA
rnacentral:lncRNA from 1 species